GGUCAGGCGCGACAGUCGGGCGGACCGUGAACCUGGUCAGGGCUUGACCGCAGCAGCCAUAAGCGUCGUCGUCCGAGCAGCCGUUGCCUGGCCGUC
rnacentral:SRP_RNA from 1 species